rnacentral:misc_RNA from 1 species
GUGUGUGUGUGUGUGUGUGUGUGUGUGUGUGUGUGUGUGUGUGUGUGUGUUCGGAGAACUUCCUGCCUUAUCUCUGUUUUUGUAACAAGGGACACGUAGAACGUACUCCUCUUUCAGAAUCGAAGAGUGUUACGUGAAUCCUCCCUUAAUACUUUCUUGCGCUGCUUCUAGUCCGUGAAUCACAGCAUACCUCGUUACGGUCUUGUCGACUUUAUUUUCAUCUCCUUCAGUACCAGGGUGUAGUUUUACCUUGAGUGUCCAGUGUCCUUUCACAGGUUACAGAGGGGAGUUUGAGGCUUUACAUGGCGGUGAUGGUGGUGUCGUAUUCCAUGUAAUAACGAAUAGUCGAUUUUAUUUACAUUAAGAAGGGUCUAUGGUGGUAAGAAUAUUAAUUUUCAGUCUUCACUAUUUUAAUCCGCACAAGUUUCUGAAGCUAUACAAAAUCACGAAAUAAUAAGCAGAAUGAAUAUGAAAACGUGUCAUGGUACUGAAGGGGUUAAGUAGGGCAGGUAUUCUUCUAUUACAGAGCACUUAGAUGCUUCUCUUCAUCUUUUUUUUUUAUUCCAGCUUUAGUGAAUUCAGUUAUUUGUUCCUUUGUCCAUCUCACUAGCUCCAUCUGUCGUUGACCCAAAGUGCUUAAAUUUAUACACCCUCUUGAUAUUAACUCCUUAACUGUCGCUUGCUACUCUUCAUCCAUUCCAUUUUUCGUUUUUGUCUUCCUUCUUUUUUAUACUAUGUGUCUUCAUUCCUCUACUUUCCAGAACAUAUCUCUACUCUUCGUGUUUCUUUUUCAGUUCUUUACUAUUGGCAGCAAGUAUUAUGCCAUCUGCCUUCAGUAACCAUGCAGCAAAGUCAUCUCUACCUCACGUUUUUGGAUCCUUGGUAUAGUGUUGCUUUAACAAAAAACUGUUGUAUAUAAGACCGCGCUUUACAUUUAAUUAUUAACAAGUUUCCUUGCUCUUAUGAUUCAUUAAUGCUCGUUAUAUAAUAAACUUUUGAUACUUCUUUUUCCGCAGUGUCACUAAACCUGCCCAGGUUACGUGUAUUUGAUGGAACGCUAAUGAAAGCACGACAGGUAAUGCAAGUUCUGUAUGUAGUUUAAUUGCUAUAGGUAUCAAGGUUCUACAGGUGAAAUAAAUACUGCAGGUGACUGAAAUGGAUAACCUGGUACUUCACAGUUCGCGAUACUUACCUGUUACUGUUGUUGUUGUUGUUGUUGUUGUCAUCAUCAUCGGCAUUAUUUUUGGUGAAGUACCUAACUGCCUUUACUCUUAUCAGUAACUUGAGCUUCAUUCGUCAUAUCAGCUUAUCAUAUCAUUACCUAACUUUUGUAGUCUCUUACUAUUACUUUUUUACUUUCUACCUCCCCUCCUCCACUACCAUUAAUUAAUUUAUUCUUCCUUUUUCGUCCUCUUUGUCUUCCUUCCCUAAUUUCCCUACACAAUUUUGAAGCUUGGGCGCGCACGCCGCAUACACACACACACACACACACACACACACACAUCAGCUGGUCUCCUUAUUACUCGUAUCCGUUUCCGUGGCGACACAAUCUCCGGAGACGCGUGAUGGGUGGCCAGCCAGUGUCCUUCCACAGGUUACAGAGGGGAGUUUGAGGCUUUACAUUGCGGUGAUGGUGGUGUCAUAUUCCAUGUAAUAACGUUGUGUGGUAGCUUCAUCUAGGAAGAAAAAAGGUGCUAUGGUGGCUUAGUCUUGUAAUGUAUUGCGAUGAUUUUGGUGUUUAGCAGCUGUGAUUGACGUGUUCAUGGUAUAGUGAUAGUGUAGUGGUGGCGGCGAUAGCGUCUGGUGAGGAAGGUGGUGGUGACGAAGAGGCCAUGAGGACCGCAGGCAUAAGAUCCGUUCCUCAGCCCGUCCCCCGCCCUGAUGCCUCUGAUAACCCCCAACCUUCCCAACCUCCAAAGCCCCUUCCCAGGACAAAGUUCCUGCAGAAGAGCGCGUCGGAGGAGUCCCCUGCCCCUGUCACGUUGCGGAGCCCGCCAGCCCCUCCCGUCCAAUCCAAAUGCAUUUCCACCACGACUCCCACCCCACCUCCCAAGCCGCCCCGCACCCCAAGUCUUCGGAACAGUCCCAACAAGGACACCUCUUCGCAGCCUCGGCGCUCCGGUCUCAUAGAGGUGCUGUCCCGUGCCAACACCGCUUCACCUACCUUGCCUACUUCGAGAACUCAACGGCAGGCUACGAGUGCGCUGAAGCCUGUCCGGCCAGCUCCCCAGGGCAGGGGUGCUGAUCAACUUGCGGCCGUAUCAACGCGACGUAAUCAACGCCCUGUUCUACAACCACUCUCACUCCCUUCACCUCCCAAAGGCAUCCCACCCAUUCCUUCAAGCAGCGCUACACCCCGCGUUCCUACUCGUCCUUCCCCCGCUCAACUGGCAGCCUCGAGGACCCCAGCCCGUCCGUCCGAUCGGGGUCGCAGCCCCCCGUCACUCACCGUUGGGUUACGGACGAACAGGAAUUUACAGGGCCCUGUGUGCUCCAUAGAAGAUUUCGAGGAUAGCUGUAAGGAAGUGUUCCGCAGCACGAAGAAGGCCAAGGAACUGUCAGCCCGUGGGAAGCAUAUGCAGGCUGCAAGUCACUUCCAGAAGGCGCUUACAGCAUUAGACCGUGUGUUACGGGCACAGGUGCUCUCCCUCUCCCAACAUGAACCCACCAGGCAGCGGCUCUUCCUUCUGCAGCAGGAAGUAUUCAGUCUUAGGAAAGAGGCACUUAAUGGCUUCACUGAUGCCCAGACAGCUGUGCGGACACCUCCGGGUCUUGCUCCAACUCCUGCUACACCUGGAGCCCCACCUUCAUAUGAUGAUGUCCUGAAAGAGGAUAGCCGCCUCCUUCAAGAUGGUCAUCCACAUCCACCCAGAGAAUUAUCCACACAGAGCACAAUAUCCUCUCCCAGCCUUCUAACACCUACUGGCCAAGGGUCUCGUCCACAUACUCGCCCAGUAACCACACAGUCUCCAGCUAACAAUAGGCAAUCUGUCCGUGUUCGAUCACACAGCAGUGGAGAUCCAGAAAUGGAGGAACUUGUAAAUAUGAGAGGGAUCAGAUCAGGAGAACCUACAACAGCUCCACCCUCCACUCACCAACGCUCUCUGUUUAAGUCCACACUUAUAUCAGCUACAAGACCUAAAUCUUCUUACCAUCCCUUGAGUCAACCAAACUCACUUUUGCUUCCUUCACCUACAGUCAGUUCUACUUCUCUUCCUCCUCCACUUCUUCCAGUCUCCCUUUCUCUUGCUUCCCUUCCCACCCAAUCUUCAGGAGCUACAUCCUUGGAAGCUCAGCCUCAUCCUAGCCCUAGACCCACAUCAGUGGUUGAUGAGGCAGUGCUGAGUCAAAUGAAGGUGCUCCAUAAAUAUAAGAGUAAUAAGAGUUCAAAUGCAUUGGCUGACACAUCUGCCUCAUAUAUUCAAAAAGAGCCACUCCCACCUAUUCCCUUAAACAAAGACAACAUGGAGGAAUGGAAGAGAAAGGAAGAGAUAAUUAGCAAUGAUAGUGGUCAACCUUUGCUGGAAAAUAUUGAGAAGAUCUCAAGAAAUACUGUGCAGCUAAAGGAUAAAGCAAAGAGUAAUCCUGUACCUUUUGUAUCUCCUGUUGAUGAUCCAUUCCUAAGUUUGGAUCCAUUUCCUCUUGUUAAGCCACAGUCUGGAGACAGUAAUGAGCUGUUCACAGAGGAGACACUGGGUGCCCACUCAUUACCUGUAGUUUCAGUCACACAUCAAAACCACAAUCAAACACCUUCAGAUGACUCAGCCCAUGAAUCAUCACAGACGUCAGACCAGAAGGAUUCAUUUAGCUUCAGUGCAACACAAGACUUACUUAAAACUCAACCUGGGAUAGCACAGAAUCCUCCAGUCAACCUUGGAGACUCCAUCCUUGAAGCCUUGGACUUUGCUAUCACACCAGUGUCAAAUCACAAAAAAGUCUCUCCCCAGCAUUCAUGGGAGAAGAAGAGAACUCGCUCUCACUCAGAGGAAAACUUACUGGAUUCUUCAUACAACACCUUUGAAACCAUGCUGCUCUCUACCAAAGACAGGCAAGCUAGCAGGGCAUCUAUCAUUGAGGAAUUUGAUCCUCUGAUGGUUUCGCAUGUUCCUCAGGACCACAUUGAGGAUGUGGAGAAAAGGGAAGAUGAGCUGCAUGAACAUAAGGGAAGGGAUGUAUUGAGAGAGGAGAGAGAGACUAAAGGCAGUGUACCACCCGAACCAACACCACGGACAACAGUGGAUACCAACAAUGUGUCUAGUAAAAACAAAGAAGCAGCUAAGGAGGAGGGAGAGACAGACAUUUUUGGUUCACCUGUAUACUACUUUGCUGAAGGAGGAGCAGUAGCACUAGAGGAACAGGCAGGAGUAGAUGAGUACACCAGUAGAUAUUCUGGAGCUUAUGCCUUGUCCUAUGGAGGGAAAGGAAAAUCAUAUUCCUCCUCAGAAGACACAAGUAGUAUGCACUCAUGGCCCCCAGAUUAUAGUGCUAGGAUACCAUCUGACCCUGCUUCACCAAUGUAUCCCAGCCUGUACCCAGAAGAAGAGGAGGAGCAGGAGGAAGCGAAGGGAAGCAAUUUUGGUGUAGGCCGUUCAGCUUUCUAUAUUCCUCCCACAAUACAGGAAGUGCUUGCCUUCAUCAGGAUGAGGUCAAAAGGAGGAACUUACUGAGUAUCCGUGAGGGUGUCAAGAUCUAUUUCAUACACACCGAUGGCAUUGUCACCUCACCGUGGAACAGGCCCUUCCUUGCUGUGUCCAGAGACCUAUCUAAAGACAAAUCCUUUAGUACUGGGCUGGUGGUGAGUGUUGGCAACAACCUAUGGACGUGUGAGCUGCAGAGGAAGUCCACUCUGGUGCUGAGGACACAGACAGGGAGCUAUGUCUUUAAUGAAGUGGCA